rnacentral:tRNA from 1 species
ACUUAAAUAGUUUAAAUAAAAUAUUGAUUUGUGGUGUCAGUGAUAUAAUUAUAUUAUUUUAGGUU